CUAGAUUGCAAGUUUCAUCACCCUGCUUGCCCCAGGGACUGGAGGCGACGUCGUAGUGGAAUCUGGGCCCUGUGCAAAGAGAACCACACACCACACGUCUCAGGGCACGCACAUUCUCUCUGCUAACCUUGCUACUCAAAAUGUUCAUAAAUCUCGGAGAAACAACACUUCAAAGCAAGCCGAUGGCUUCAGCGAGCUCUGGUCCUUUUCACUGUCUAGCCUUACAAAAUCUAGCUCCAAAUCCUCUAAAACUCUUCUUUUUUUCUUUCCCUUCUUUCUGCCUUUCUGCUCUCUCUUUGGGAAUAUGGCAAGAUUUGCCUCCUGCUCCUCCAUUGGCCUCCUCUGCGGUCAUUCCACCUUCCAUACUUCCCCCACAUCACCCUCCAUAUCUUCUGAGAAACAACGUGGCCUGUUCUUCCUACUCAGAAACUUGUGCUGGGAGGAGGUGCCCAAAGACCAUAUCUGGAUUUGGCACACCUGGAUUUAAGAUGAGCCCCCUUCCUGACCCUUCCACUGGCUUGCAGGCAGAUGUAUCGGAAGAUUAAAAUAUUGAAAAGUAACAUGCAAGAAAAUAACCAGCUGUAUACGAGCUUUCAGAAUCGACCACAGAAAUGACCAUUACAUCACAUCAUUCCAGAAAGCUUUUUGUGCAUAAAGAAAGGAAGAGAGAUCACAGGGAUACUUUACAAGAAUUGGACAAAAAUGCAGAUGCUAUUUUAAUUUGAAGAAUGACAUUUGAUUUUACUUGAAACUUAAAGAAGAGUUGACCUUCAAGUCAUGUUUCUUGACCACAAUAGACCUUACUUGUUGAAAGGUACCUCUGAGAGUAAACAAAAAUUGUGAAAAGCA